rnacentral:piRNA from 1 species
GCAGGUGCAAUGAAAGAUCCUAGAAAU